UACGUAGGGUGCAAGCGUUAAUCGGAAUUACUGGGCGUAAAGCGUGCGCAGGCAGUUUGGCAAGAAGGAUGUGAAAUCCCAGGGCUUAACCUUGGAACUGCAUUCUUAACUGCCAGGCUAGAGUAUGUCAGAGGGGGGUAGAACUCCACGUGUAGCAGUGAAAUGCGUAGAGAUGUGGAGGAAUACCGAUGGCGAAGGCAGCCCCCUGGGAUAAUACUGACGCUCAUGCACGAAAGCGUGGGGAGCAAACAGG
rnacentral:misc_RNA from 1 species